AUUCACAUGAAACAUAUUAAGAAGAGACUUUCCCUCAAAGGUGGUUCAGCAAUUUGUGAUGAAACAGGCAGAGGGGUUUGCACCCACUUCCAGGGAAUGAGAACAAAUGGAAAGGUUUGGUUUAUGAGGUACCUGAGGACAAAAACGAAAACGUUUUCAAAAUCAGUUAUUUGUGGGGAAAAGGGUGGAUAAAACCUGACAGUUGUAGCCACACGGACUGAGACCUUUAGAGCUGGUGAGUUUAAUGCCAUCCAGCACCCAGAAAUGUGAUUCUACAGUCACAUGGAGCUGCAGAAAGGCCGAGUCUGUCCCUCCUUCACUCAGCAGCAGGAGCAUUCCGUGGGUUCUGCUCAGCACUCCCAUCACCAUGGAGACGUUUGCUGUUUGGGUGGUGACGUGUGGAACCUUACCUGGAGCCUCAGUUCCUCUGCAGUUACAUCAGAUGGCCCAGAUUAGAUUUUUCCACGGUGCUGUUGCAGUUUCCACUCUGCCCAAGUGACUCGACACCACCUUUGCCAUCCCUCUGCUCUGUCUCCAACAACACAGCUCCCAGACUUUUCCCUGAAGUGACCUGGGCCUCCUUCCACUCCUCCUGAAAAUUCCUGCACCAAGACAAUGAUUCCUAGGAAAGGACAAGAGAACUUUGUGUACCAAGAACUCUGCUGACUACAAAGGGAGCCCAGAGUGACUCAUUUCACUGGAGGUGUCCAAAUUAAAUGCCAGCACUACCUGAUGAACUCUACCUCCCCCUCUUCGAACCGAUUUUAAGGCAUAAAAAAGAGUAGUUCCAUCGCCAGGUCAAAGAAACCCACGGAUUGUUUUGCUGUUCUCUCUUCGCUGCUUCAUUUGGAGACUCGUUGGUGGAAGGGGGUUUAAUCUCCUUUUAGUCAUUCUCCCACUGGAAAAUCCAUUGUUUCCCUCCCUACUCAUCUUA